GGGCAUAUAUGUCAAUUGGUAGACAGCCUCCCUUACAAGGAGGAAGUUGGAGGUUCGAGUCCUUCUAUGCCCACCA
rnacentral:tRNA from 2 species